CCGCUGAAAUUAAGCAUAUAACUAAGCGGAGGAAAAGAAACUAACCAGGAUUCCCUCAGUAAGGGCGACUGAAGCGGGAAGAGCUCCACUUGUGAAUCUGCGCUUGCGCCGAAUUGUGGUGUGUUCACGUUAUUGUCCGGGCCAAGUCCCUUGGAACAGGGCGGCAGAGAGGGUGAGACCCCCGUUCGCCUGGACUUUGAGUGAGCAUAAUCGAGUCGAGUUGUUUGGGAUUGCAGCUCAAAGCGGGUGGUAAAUUCCAUCGAAAGCUAAAUAUUGGUGGGAGACCGAUAGCGUACAAGUACCGUGAGGGAAAGAUGCAAAGAACUUUGAAAAGAGAGUUAAAGAGUACCUGAAAUUGCUGAAAGGGAAGCGAAGGAAACCAGUGUCAUCCCCGUCAUACUUCUCUGCUCGCUUGCGGGCAGGGCGCUGUGGCUGGAUUGGUCAGGCUUGGUUGCGAGUGUCGGAUAGGCGCCAGAGGAGUUGACUCUGGUUGCUGGCGACAGUUGCGACUGAGGUUGGCGAAAUGGUUUUCUUUACCCCGUCUUGAAACCGGGGACCAAGGA
rnacentral:rRNA from 1 species